rnacentral:rRNA from 1 species
AGAGUUUGAUCCUGGCUCAGGACGAACGCUGGCGGCGUGCUUAACACAUGCAAGUCGAACGGAAUCCAUGGUGUAGCAAUACACCGGAAGAUUUAGUGGCGAACGGGUGAGGAUCACGUGAGAAACGUGCCCCAGACUCUGGGAUAACAAUUGGAAACGAUUGCUAAUACCGGAUGACGUCGGAGAAUCGCAUGAUUCACUGACGAAAGAUAUUUCGGUUUGGGAGCGUCUCGCGGCCUAUCAGCUUGUUGGUGGGGUAAUGGCCUACCAAGGCAACGACGGGUAGCUGGUCUGAGAGGAUGAUCAGCCACACUGGGACUGAGACACGGCCCAGACUUCUACGGGAGGCAGCAGUGGGGAAUCUUGCGCAAUGGGCGAAAGCCUGACGCAGCAACGCCGCGUGCGGGAUGAAGGCCUUCGGGCUGUAAACCGCUUUCAGCAGGAACGAAAAUGACGGUACCUGCAGAAGAAGGAGCGGCCAACUACGUGCCAGCAGCCGCGGUGACACGUAGGCUCCAAGCGUUGUCCGGAUUUAUUGGGCGUAAAGAGCUCGUAGGCGGUUGAGUAAGUCGGGUGUGAAAACUCUGGGCUUAACCCGGAGACGCCAUCCGAUACUGCUCUGACUAGAGUUCAGGAGGGGAGUGGGGAAUUCCUAGUGUAGCGGUGAAAUGCGCAGAUAUUAGGAGGAACACCGGUGGCGAAGGCGCCACUCUGGACUGAAACUGACGCUGAGGAGCGAAAGCAUGGGUAGCAAACAGGAUUAGAUACCCUGGUAGUCCAUGCCGUAAACGGUGGGCACUAGGUGUGGGUUCCAACUAACGGGAUCCGCGCCGUCGCUAACGCAUUAAGUGCCCCGCCUGGGGAGUACGGUCGCAAGACUAAAACUCAAAGGAAUUGACGGG